UAUAAUGUUGCCAUGCUCCCAACCAGGAUCUAUGGUUAAAUCGAUCCUAGUUGAACUGUGUGGUCCAGAUUAAGAGCUCUGGAACAUAACAUCUCAAAGUUAGCUUGAUAAAAUUACCUAUUUUGUGAAUUUAUUUCAUGUUCGCUAUUUCAAGUUAGAGGUGCACUUUCUUAAAAACUCAACUAAGCAGACACUAGAGAUGCAGCACAGCAAAAGCUGUGGAGUGGGAUGCGGAAUGGUCCAAGAACUCUGUUCCAUCUGGUCGUGCUGCACUUGGUAUACAUGCAGCUGCUUAUGAGGAAUCCAAAGAUGUAAAGACUAGAAGUCUUGUGAGAGACUCUCCACAGAAACUUAUAAAAGGGGUUGCUGAGAAAGUGGCUGCAGUAGUUUGAGUGGGAUGAAAAAGAUGAGACCAGAAGGCCUUGUAGGGAAUCCGUCACGACUGUUAGUAGUUUAUAUAACUAGGAAGGCCUUGCUAUUGUCUCUUAGAUGAUACCAGACUAGUUGAUGCUUAUAUUUUCUAUCUGUUAUUUUCUUUGACCACGACAAGAUUAUGUUUUUGGUUCGACAUGUAUGCAAUUUAGAUAGGUUUCUAUCUGUA